rnacentral:rRNA from 1 species
CCCAGGCUUGUACAGCUGGGGACUGACAACCCUUUGAUUUCCGACUCUGUUGCCUCCGGGGCGACCCUGCCUUCGGGCGGGGGCUCCGGGUGGACACUUCAAACUCUUGCGUAACUUUGCAGUCUGAGUAAACUUAAUUAAUAAAUUAAAACUUUUAACAACGGAUCUCUUGGUUCUGGCAUCGAUGAAGAACGCAGCGAAAUGCGAUAAGUAAUGUGAAUUGCAGAAUUCAGUGAAUCAUCGAAUCUUUGAACGCACAUUGCGCCCCCUGGUAUUCCGGGGGGCAUGCCUGUUCGAGCGUCAUUUCACCACUCAAGCCUCGCUUGGUAUUGGGCAACGCGGUCCGCCGCGUGCCUCAAAUCGUCCGGCUGGGUCUUCUGUCCCCUAAGCGUUGUGGAAACUAUUCGCUAAAGGGUGUUCGGGAGGCUACGCCGUAAAACAACCCCAUUUCUAAGGUUGACCUCGGAUCAGGUAGGGAUACCCGCUGAACUUAAGCAUAUCAAUAAGCGGAGGAAAAGAAACCAACAGGGAUUGCUCUAGUAACGGCGAGUGAAGCAGCAAUAGCUCAAAUUUGAAAUCUGGCGUCUUCGACGUCCGAGUUGUAAUUUGUAGAGGAUGCUUCUGAGUGGCCACCGACCUAAGUUCCUUGGAACAGGACGUCAUAGAGGGUGAGAAUCCCGUAUGCGGUCGGAAAGGCGCUCUAUACGUAGCUCCUUCGACGAGUCGAGUUGUUUGGGAAUGCAGCUCUAAAUGGGAGGUAAAUUUCUUCUAAAGCUAAAUAUUGGCCAGAGACCGAUAGCGCACAAGUAGAGUGAUCGAAAGAUGAAAAGCACUUUGGAAAGAGAGUUAAAAAGCACGUGAAAUUGUUAAAAGGGAAGGGAUUGCAACCAGACUUGCUCGCGGUGUUCCGCCGGUCUUCUGACCGGUCUACUCGCCGCGUUGCAGGCCAGCAUCGUCUGGUGCCGCUGGAUAAGACUUGAGGAAUGUAGCUCCCUCGGGAGUGUUAUAGCCUCUUGUGAUGCAGCGAGC